rnacentral:rRNA from 1 species
AUUGAACGCUGGCGGCAUGCCUUACACAUGCAAGUCGAACGGCAGCACGGGUGCUUGCACCUGGUGGCGAGUGGCGAACGGGUGAGUAAUACAUCGGAACGUACCUUAUCGUGGGGGAUAACGCAGCGAAAGCUGUGCUAAUACCGCAUACGCCCUGAGGGGGAAAGCGGGGGAUCGCAAGACCUCGCGCGAUUAGAGCGGCCGAUGCCUGAUUAGCUAGUUGGUGGGGUAAAAGCCCACCAAGGCGACGAUCAGUAGCUGGUCUGAGAGGACGCUCAGCCACACUGGGACUGGGACACGGCCCAGACUCCUACGGGAGGAAGCAGUGUGGAAUUUUGGACGAUGGGGGCAACCCUGAUCCAGCAAUGCCGCGUGAGUGAAGAAGGCCUUCGGGUUGUAAAGCUCUUUUGUCAGGGAAGAAACACCGGCUCUAACACAGUCCGCGAAUGACGGUACCUGAAGAAUAAGCACCGGCUAACUACGUGCCAGCCGCCGCCGUAA